CUGCACUGACCCCCGCGGGGAGGGGCCUGGGGCGGAGGAGGGCCCCGGCUGGCUCCCCCCCCCGCCCUCCCCUCGGGGCGCAAGUGCGUGAGGUCGGACGUGCCGGGCGGACAGUAAAUAUUUACCCAUUGCCUACUAAGGUCGAGUCUAGACCUAGCUUUGCGCGCCUUCCCCCCUCCCCCCGCCUCCACCCCCUGGCUCGCUCCUGCCCCAGGAGACGUGCCCAGCCCGACGUUUUACCGACCCGAAGCCCGCCCCUCCUGCCGGGGCCGAAGUCUAUCCGCCGACCAUCUCCAGGGCGGCGCCUCACGCGCUUUUUACUCACCUGGGAGGUCACCUGGGUGUCGGCCUCCCACGUGCCCAGCGAGAGAUUAUCCCGUCUGUGUCCCACGGAAUCGAAGCGCCACGAGGGCAGGGCGUUUGGUGUCCUGCUGCACUGCCCACGCCUGGCACGGCACUGGGCACACUAGUAGCAGGUCAAUAAUUGUCUGUUGAGUGGGUGACAUCACUGUUGAGUUAAGCAAACUUGGCUGGAAGCGUCAGAGCGCAGACUGCAGAUCCACACGCCAGAGCCGCUGCGCCGCCUGCUGGACGCAGAGGGGAGUUGCAGGCACUGCGGGACCCAGACAGGCAACAGGGAGAUGCCCAGAGACUCGGCCUGAAGACCAGCCCACCCCGUUCCCUCCCCCACCGCAGCCCCCAGCCUGCCCAGGCGGGUCUCGUCUCUGGCUUUGGGCUUCCUCUCACCGCAAACCGGUGCGCUUGUGAAGGCUCUCACCACCCCAGGCAAACAUCUGUGCUUAGUGGCGGGAGCGGUCUGAGGUGUCUGUCUGUCUGCCUGUCUGGGAAAUUCCCCUCCUGGGCCUCCCUGUGAAUUUCUGAGACAGGAUUAACCCUCUGAGGGACAGACUGUCCGCCUCUGGGGGCACUGCCCGCCGGGAGGCGCCAUUUCCAGUCUGGAACUGGCAGAGCUUCUUGAUUGCUACUCCUUUACUGAGCCCUGUGGUUGGGGUGGCAGAGCCACAGGGUCCGGGACCCUGCUAACCUGGCCCAGCCCCUGAGGGUAUCUUUAGACAGUGGGGUAGGGGUGGGAGGCUUGAGCCUCUGUGCCGUUCCCUCAAUGUCAUUUUGAAAAAUAACGUAUGUGUUUCCCACUUUA